CCGGUAGUGUGUUGAUUCGUUGAUAUCUUGAAAUCUCUAUAAUUUCGAGUUUCCACUAAUUUCUGAAAUAUUACUCGAUGACUUUUGUACUUUUCCCGCACGGAUUUUUCUAAUUUAAAUACCAUCAUUUUUAAAGGGACAUAUUGUGUUGAAAGGCCGGCAUCACACAACUUAAAUUAAAACAAUGGAGUGCCAAGAGAAAGGCCAAACAUCCUCUAUGGCUGCCGUGGGCUCUGAGGGCGUUGGCGAACCCUCGCAGAGUUUUCGGAUGGAAAUCGAACCGCAGAACGACUUCCCCAGCCCCAGUGCGCCCCCUCUGCCGCCACCAUCCUACGAAGAGGCGAUCGCCGCCCCGAGCGUGCCUCCGCCCUCGUUUCAGUCCUUAAUGACGGAAAUCCAAAAUGCUCGAGAAACUUCAGAAGGAUUGACUGAUUUUGGCAGCAAACUGUGCGACGCAAUCGCAAAUACAGUUGGCAUUACUGUGGUGAUUUUCAUGUUCGUUGGGCUCUUCGCUAUUUUAAGCGUAAUGGUCGGAAUGGUAGUUCUCGGCGCCCUUUACUUUCAUGAAUGCCCGGCCCAGCCUAUGAUUCCAAUAAUGCUGAUCAUUGGAGGAACCGUCUUGAUUCUGCUUAACAUAAUCAAUUGCGCCAAGAAAAAGCCACAGGGUGAAGAAGAGCGAAAAAAAUCAUCGACUGGGAAAAAAUUGUUCACGUUUUUAUUCAUCUUGUGGCUCGGUCUUUCCUCGUACUGGGUUUACGUGCAGUACAAGCCAAGCUCAAACCCUGAAGACCAAGACUAUUGCAACCCCGUGCUGUACAACUUUUACUUUUGGUUCCUCAACGUGACAAAUGUGAUUUUGCUGCUCUCUUGCAUAUGCUAGUGCAAAGAAACGUGUUCUCGUGUUCUGCGGUUAAAAGACGUUCUUUCAAAGACAUAUAAGGUUUCUCCCACUUGUUAUUUGACAAGUGAUGCUAUACGUAGAUGGCAGUCGUGGCUAUCACCACCUUCUCACUACUCAACUCUUCAAUAACUCAACAAAAACGUAAUGCUGCAGACCUUCUAUCCAGCUCAAACCAACAACAUCGUGCGAAAGGAGCCGUAGCAAAACAAACGUGGCGCAAUCGACAUUCCAAAGCAAGUGGUAUUAAUGAAAGUGUUCAAUCAGCCGUAAGGUAACCAUAGUUAAAUUUGUUUUGAAAUGCAGUGAGGGAUAAGAGGGAACACACCAAAAGGCUAUGACGUGGAGACCAAGCGAUUAUUUAGAUCCUGAGGAAGUACCUCUGAUUAAAUUAAAGAAUGAAAUUACACAAGACAUCGGCAAGAUUGUUGACAAGCACCGAGAAGAAAAUUAUGGCGAAAUCACAGAAUUUUGGUCGCUGGUCUAUUAUGUGGUUGCUAUACUUUUGGGCACCCUAUUCCCCAUGGUGACCUUCGGCGCCCUUUACUACGACAACUGUCCAGCUGAUCCAGUUUUACCACAGUUGCUCAUUUUUGGAGGGCUCAUCACAUUUGCCGUCUGCAUCGCCGUUUCAGUCAAGUACAUGCGAUUUAUGACCAAGUUGUGCAACGUGUGCCAUGGAUGGCUAAGGCUGUACAUUUAUUGCAGCCUCUGGAUCAUUAUAGCAAUGUACUUUAUCUGGCUCAUUUACUCCUUGUGCAAAGUGGCCGAACAAUAUGACUCCAGCAGUGACCCCCAAGCUGAUGACUAUUGCCACCCGUUCUUCUACAAUUUCUUCGCUACCGUUCUUUUCAUAUCAUUUGCAGUUUUGCUGCUUAUGACUAUCACUUCUAAUUGUUUUGAACAAGGUACUACCGUAAUCUAAAUUUUUACUUUUAUAUAGAAAAUUGGCAUGAUGGAUAAAUUUUCUGACCUUUUUUUAGCCUCACGAGAGCAAACACGUGUAUCGAUUUUACUUGAUCUCUGAAUCUUUUAUUGAAUCUGAAGAAAUCAUAUCUGAGGACGAAAUUUGUUCUUAAGAUAUAUUAUUGAAUUAACAAAUGCUUAACAUGGAGACUAUUUAUGUCAAAGCAAUGUUUAUAGCCAAUAAACUUUAUUUUAUUGAUUUAAAAA